rnacentral:rRNA from 1 species
UGAGGAAUAUUGGUCAAUGGACGAGAGUCUGAACCAGCCAAGUAGCAUGAAGGAUGACUGCCCUAUGGGUUGUAAACUUCUUUUAUAUGGGAAUAAAAUGUUCCACGUGUGGGAUUUUGUAUGUACCAUAUGAAUAAGGAUCGGCUAACUCCGUGCCAGCAGCCGCGGUAAUACGGAGGAUCCGAGCGUUAUCCGGAUUUAUUGGGUUUAAAGGGAGCGUAGGUGGAUUGUUAAGUCAGUUGUGAAAGUUUGCGGCUCAACCGUAAAAUUGCAGUUGAAACUGGCAGUCUUGAGUACAGUAGAGGUGGGCGGAAUUCGUGGUGUAGCGGUGAAAUGCUUAGAUAUCACGAAGAACUCCGAUUGCGAAGGCAGCUCACUGGACUGCAACUGACACUGAGGCUCGAAAGUGUGGGUAUCAAACAGG